UCAUAAAUCUUGUCAUUGUUCCUGAUUUCAAACAGGAAGGCCGCUGAGAGAUCUGGAGGAUCCGGUUUCCCCCGAGAGAGGAGGCAGACCUGGGCGGAGGAGCGGAGGAUGAACGCAGAGACGUUUGGCCUCCCGCUGCGGCGGGGUCGCGGAGGCUUCAGAGGUCGCGGUGGCAUGGGCUUCAGAGGGGGCCGAGGCCGCGGAGCUGGACGGGGGUGGUUUGGAUCUCACCCUGGUGGAAGUGGCUUUAGAGGGGCAUUCAGAGGAAGCCAAGGAGGAAGAGAGUUCUCUGACUUUGAAUACAGGAAGGAUAACAAAGUUGCUGUAUAGUGGUCAGAGAAAGCAGAUCCAGAAGACCUGAUUUGUGUGGGAUCUGCAUUUCUGGUCACAUGUUUUGCUGAGAACGAGGAGAUAAUGUACGUGUUGUAAAAAUCUGUCACCAGCACUGCUUCAAACCUGGCUAUUAAUGAAACAGCUACUCCAUUUCUUCCUGAGGAGUGGAACAAAUGUUUUGUUUUUUUUGAAGCGUUAAUUUGAGAAUAUUUCCAGAUGGCUUCAAAUACAUUAUGAUUUCUGAGGGACUGAGGGCUGUUUCGUUGACCUUCAAUGCUUAACCUGAAUUUAAUAUACUGCUGCUUACAGCUAACAGAUUAUCUAGAACAACGUAUUGUGUUUUUGAUCACUGAAUGAGCUUUAUUUUUGACUUGUUUUGCUAUAAAGUAUCUUAGUGUAUUUAGCAUCAACAUAGACUGCCUGGAACUCAGUUAUGCAUUGUCAUAUUUUUCUAAUGUAAUUUCAUUCUUCAGCCCCCAACAUCACUAUUCCUGUUCCUGUAGCAAGUAGAAUUAUUAUUAUUUUUUUUAAAUAUAUAUAAACGUGGAUGUAUCAGUCCCUCGUAAGAGGUCUGUAGUUUCGGGACAAGCGCUUCAAGAGGUGCCAGUAUUGGUAGAGUUUCACUAAAGGACGUUUUAGAUAUAAUGGAGAAAAACACAGAAAUGCAGUUUUUGAGGGAAACCAGGAAAUAGCACAAAUUAAAAUGAGACGAUGUGGUCAACCAAGGCAAAGCGACCUCAGUGAUACGUUUCUAUUUUCUGUGGGUUUGAUUUAUAUUUGAUGAGGUCCACUUUGCAGUAUGUAGCACUUUUGUAGCAGACGUUUACUAAGAAAUAAUGCUACUCUGUGACUCUACAGAACUCUAUGCUGCAGUUACUUUGACGGUGAGCUUUUACCACUAAUAAUUAUAAUCCCGUCAUUCAACAUUCAGAUCAUAUGUCCUUCGCCUCAUAAAACAUCGAGUGAAACUGACGUGUCACACUGAGCCUAGAGCUCGCUGGGAAGUUUGAGAGUACUUAUGAUUAUUUUACCAGAUAUUAUUCAGUAGCAGUGCUUCCCAGUGGAUCGUUUCUCCUGCUUUCUAUCUUAAAUGUGAGCGGAAGCUGGAGCAUCGAAAAGGCAGAAUGUGUUGUGUCUCUGUAAUGCAGGUGCCGUUUAGCUUUUCCCGCCUCGUUCAGCUGCUGUGUUUUACAGUCACUGACUGCUCUAGCUGACCUGCACAUUGUGAUGUCAUUAUCCACACCUACGCAUCGCUCGUACGCAUCGCUCGUCACUUCCGUCGCAUUUUGUAACCAAAUCUGUUUUUGGCCUCUGAUAGCUUGGCAUUAUUCUCGCAGGGAGAUUUUGCUGUGGAGCAAACGGCGGCAGAAUAAAGUCAUUUUUUUAUGGAUUUAUCAUUGAAGUUGAAGGAUUGAUCUAUUUUUACUGGCCAGUUUGUGACUCUGAUCUUGAUUGUGUAGUGUAUGGCUGUAACAUCUCUACAAAAAUGUAUUUAGUUUUUUCCUCCA